UCCAGGUUGGACCUCAACUGACCCGACCCUUACAACAACAAAAUAAAAAGUUAAUCUAAAAUAACCCUAAAAUCUAAAACAAUUGUAUUCACUCAUUUCUCUUCCAACCACUCCCUUUCUCUUUUCUCCCUGUACAUGCAACCUUAACGCGCAUCUAUGGCAAAAAGGAAAAAUAUCACGAAAACGAAAACUUGAAAAAAUUACGAUCUCUCUCUCGUAAGUUCUUCCUCUCUUCUCCCUUCGAAAUCGUUCCCUUCAACAAUCUAUACUCUGAGAUUUAAAAAAAAAAAACUCUUUGGUGAAGCAUAACCAAACCUACAUCCUCAUCCUACACCAAACACGUAUUGGCCAAGCAUCAACGCAACAACAUAAAAAUUAAAAAACAGAAGUAGAAUUGUACAUUUUACAUAAACAUAAGCGAAUCAAAUAGACAAAAAAAUGGAAAUGGUUUCAACGUAUUCUGAGAAAGAAAACAAAAGCGGACUACCUACACGAGAAGUAAUUACGACGCAAGCUUCAGGUCUCAAGAUAUCAAGAGAAAGCAAUGUUCAAAUGGAAGAUGGAAGAUGUUUCUUGUCUUAGGUCUUGUUCUUCUCUUUUGAUGAAGAUCAAAGUGGUCUUGGUUGAAAAAAUGUAAAAAAACAAAUGUAACAUAACCUAACUUGAAUAGGUUAAGUCAUUAUUGUAACUCAUGUUGAUAUCAUUUGGUAUGUAAUGGGGAUCUUUAAAGAUAUAUCCUUUUUUUGACAAUUGGGAAUACACUAGCUUUAUUCGAAUCCA